rnacentral:rRNA from 1 species
AUUUAUAUAAUGGUUUUAAUUAUACUUUUAUUUUUAUAUUAAAUUAAAUAAAUUUCUGUUUUUGUAAAAUUAAUUGACAAAAUUGUAUUUACUAUAGUAGAUUUAUACUGUAAAGGAAAGCAAGAAUAUUAAAUAUAAUUAAUUGAAGGUAAUUUUAUUAAUUGUAUCUUGUGUAUCAGAGUAUAUUAAAAUUAAUUAUAAAUUUUUUUUAUCUCGAAUUUAAAUGAUUUAAUUUAGUAAUUUAGUUAUUGUAUCAUAAAUAUUAAAAAUACUUUAUUGGUAAUGAAAUGUUUACCGUUUUUGAGGAUAUCUAGUUUUUUAAUAAACGAAUUUAAUUCGGGAAAUACAAUAUUAUUUUUUAUUUAAUUAUAAGAAUAUUAAGUAUUUCUAAUUUUAAAGGGGAUUAACUCUUUAAAUUAUAAGGUUAUAAUAUUUUGUUAGGAGUUAGAAUUUAAUAAAUUUAGAAUUUGUUAUUAGUUUAAGGAUGUUAAAAUUUAAUUCUUAUAUUUAUUUGAUUUUUAAUUUUUAUUUAAUUUUUAUAUUAAAAUGUUAAGUGUAAUUAUAUAAUUUUAGUAAAGAUAAUUUAAUUAGUAAAAUAUUUAAUUUAUAUAAUAUAAUUAAUUGAAAUGUUAGUAUAAAGAAUUAGGCAAAUAUUUUGCUCACCUGUUUAUUAAAAACAUGGUUUCUUUAUAUAUUUAGGAAAUUUAACCUGCCCACUGAAAUAUUUAAAGGGCCGCGGUAUAUUGACCGUGCGAAGGUAGCAUAAUCAUUAGUCUUUUAAUUGGAGGCUUGUAUGAAUGGUUGGAUGAGGUAAAUUCUGUUUUAUAUUCAUUAAAUUGAAUUUAGUUUUUGAGUAAAAAUACUUAAAUGUUAUUAAGGGACGAGAAGACCCUAUAGAGUUUAAUAGAUGUACAAAUUAUUUGAGUUAAGAAUGAAUUUAAAUUAUUGUGAAAUUUAUUUGAUUGGGGUGAUUAAAAGAUAAAUAAAACUCUUUUUAAAUUUUAAUAUUAUUUUUAGUUAUUUGAUCCAUGUAUAAUGAUUAAAAGAUUAAAUUACCUUAGGGAAAACAGCAUAAUCUUUUUUAAGAGUUCUUAUCGAAAAGGAGGAUUGUGACCUCGAUGUUGGAUUAGGAUUAGUUUUGGGUGUAGGUGUUCAUGAACUAGGUCUGUUCGACCUUUAAAAUCUUACAUGAUCUGAGUUUAAACCGGCGUGAGCCAGGUUGGUUUCUAUCUUUAAUUUUAUUAAAUACUUUAGUACGAAAGGACCAAUUAUUUGAAAUAAUUUUAUUAAUACUGAAUUUUAUUAAUUUA